GGUACCCCAUCUAAGUACUAACCGCGCCCGACGCUGCUUAAU
rnacentral:rRNA from 1 species